GGGCCAGUGGCGAAACAGCAGACGCAGCGGCCUUAAAAGCUGCCGAGGCAGCCCCUCGUAUCGGUGCAACUCCGAUCUGGCCUA
rnacentral:tRNA from 1 species